rnacentral:rRNA from 1 species
CCUACGGGAGGCAGCAGUGGGGAAUAUUGCACAAUGGGGGAAACCCUGAUGCAGCGACGCCGCGUGAGUGAAGAAGUAUCUCGGUAUGUAAAGCUCUAUCAGCAGGGAAGAAAAUGACGGUACCUGACUAAGAAGCCCCGGCCAACUACGUGCCAGAAGCCGCGGUAAUACGUAGGGGGCAAGCGUUAUCCGGAUUUACUGGGUGUAAAGGGAGCGUAGACGGCGCUGCAAGUCCGGAGUGAAAGCCCAUGGCUUAACCAUGGUACUGCUCUGGAAACUGUGGAGCUUGAGUGCAGGAGAGGCAGGCGGAAUACCUGGUGUAGCGGUGAAAUGCGUAGAUAUUAGGAGGAACACCGACAGCGAAGGCAGCCUGCUGGACCGUGACUGACGUUGAGGCACGAGAGCGUGGGGAGCAAACAGGAUUAGAUACCCGUGUAGUC